rnacentral:rRNA from 2 species
UGGGGAAUAUUGCACAAUGGGCGAAAGCCUGAUGCAGCAACGCCGCGUGAGCGAUGAAGGCCUUUGGGUCGUAAAGCUCUGUCCUUGGGGAAGAAAAAAAUGACGGUACCCUUGGAGGAAGCCCCGGCUAACUACGUGCCAGCAGCCGCGGUAAUACGUAGGGGGCAAGCGUUAUCCGGAAUUAUUGGGCGUAAAGAGUGCGUAGGUGGUUGCGUAAGCGCGAGGUGAAAGGCUAUGGCUCAACCAUAGUAAGCCUUGCGAACUGUGAGACUUGAGUGCAGGAGAGGAAAGUGGAAUUCCUAGUGUAGCGGUGAAAUGCGUAGAUAUUAGGAGGAACACCAGUGGCGAAGGCGACUUUCUGGACUGUUACUGACACUGAGGCACGAAAGCGUGGGGAGCAAACAGG